rnacentral:lncRNA from 1 species
UCGGGCGGAGCUCGCAUGCGCGUGCGUGUGGUGGCGCAGACGCUCUCGGGUUACCCGGGGUAUCCGCCCGAGGGCGAGCGGCGCCGAAGGGGGCGCUGUAUCACGUAUGCUUGCAAGCGGGCUGCUGCUAAUUUUAGUGAAGACAGUUGCAAAAUGUGGCCUGGAUCAAUCGGAAGUAUUGUAACAAUGAAGGAUGAAAGGUAGAGCUGUGUGAAUGUGAACAUAAGUUAUUUUAUAAGGCUUAUCGGUUAAAAAAAAUAACACUUAAGAUUAGGAAAACCGAAGUUUACUUGUCACAUAUACAGUGAAUACGUACAUAUUUUAUGAAGAUCAUAAGCCAAAAGGAAAUGAAGUCUAGUGAAAUCUGAAAGAACAGAA